GCAGCAGGUCUGAUGAGAGGUGGGAUCUUUGUGAAAGUGAUUGUACAGUCAGGAGAGCCAACCAAACUACAAGCCUGGAAUCCUCUCUCUGCUCUAAGACAGCUGUUUAAAUAUAGUAGGCAACCAGCAGCAAGGGAGGAGAGGAGGAGCCAAAAGGACUGGAGGUGGAGCAAGGAAAAUACCAAUAAGCAUGAGUCAGCAGGAAUAUUUCCCUUCCCAGCUCCUGAAUGAAUGUAGAGAAACUUCCUUAGUAAUGUUCAGCUGACUAAUGUGACUACAGCAGAAGCAGGAUUGCAGGAACCAUGCCUGUCAGAAGUCCUGCACUGAACAAAUUUUCCAUUUUUAACCCUCAGGACAACACAGAUAUAUAGUGGGUCUGAAAAGAUUGAUGUCAGUUUGUGUUUCUUUUUCUUCAGUGAGAUAAAGUGUUAUAAGCCUUUUGAACAGUAGCAGUAAAAUGAGUCAAACUGCUUGCAUAAAACUCAGAACCUACCAGGGGUUUCAUCCAAGGUAUCUUACUCAAUUCAGGGAAUAAUUGAUCUGACUUGCUAAAUUUAAAAUGCCCUUCACAAAUUAAAUACCUUUAUCCCAAAGUGUUCAGUUCAAGUAGUAAAUGAAGCACAUGUUUAUCUCUGAGGCCAUCUGUUUGGAAAUCACAAUUUCCAGGAAAUAGGACUGCUGAUACACAGUUAAAGUGCAUGCUUUCAUUCAUGUGAUCUAAAAGAUAAAAGCAGUUCUUGAGAAGGAUUUCUCUGCUCUCAUGACUCCCAUCAGAGCAGAACACUUAAUAUAAAACUCUGGUUUAAUUCCACCAGAAUAAGUUGUUUUAAUAAAUGUGAGGCAAUUGUUUCACUCAAAGUUUAGCUUUAACAAAUCUGACUCAGUAAAUGCUGUCAGACUGAAGAAGGUGGGGGGACAGGGGUAAGGACUCUUUCCAGUUUCCUGGGCCUUUAUCCAAGCUAAGAAAACCUACAUUUGUCACCAACACCACAACCCAGACCACAUCAGCAAGAUGUUCCUUGUAAAUGUUGUGGCAGCCCCCAGUCAGAGGCAGCAAGUUGUGGCCAUACCACUUCAGAGAGCAGUUGGAUAUCUAAGAAAUGUGACUUGCUCUGCUGAAUGACAGAGAGGACUUGUCCAAGCACAGAUGAAAAGGAGGAGGUGUUUAUCCUUGCCUGGUCAAUAUUUGUUUUGAUUGUGAAAAUGCUAAGUUUGAAUCAUCAGGCAAAACCUCUGCCAAAGAGCUUGGAGAUUGUAACAUGAAGUGACCAUUUACCUCAAGGCAGAGAAGUACCUGAGUGGCUCUGCUUAUCAGUCCAGCCUGAAAUGUGCUGGCCAGGGCAGAAUGAUGUGGCACCAAGGUGACCAAAGCCUGGGCUAUCUUUGGUAUCUGCCCCUGGGAGCUCUGGCCAGGGCAUUUUCCACAGCCCUUUUUUGUAGUCCUGCCACCCUGAAGGGGAACGUUCAGGGCUGCCAGCAAUAAAUAACUGCAGAUAUAACUGCAGAUCAGAGCUGCAGAAUAGCUGCAGAUAUCAGAGCUGUGCACAGGAACUUCUGCCCUUGUCUCUGCUGCUGCUGCAGCUCACCAUGCCUGAACACUGCCCGAGUUGCUCUGGGUGACCAGAGCCCAGUGGAGCUGCACUGUCCCUUGGGACAGGACCCAAAAGGUCCCUCCAGCCUCCUGUGCCACCCUCAGCAGUGGCCAGGAGCAGUCACCCACAGGAUGGAACAGGACAAGUGUGUGAUGCUUGUCUUUUCUCUUCCCCUGCCUGCAGUCUCUCCUAGGGUUGCCUCAGGAGUGGCUGUUGCUCUGAAAGAGACAAAGUACAGGCACCAGCAGGAGUGUAAUGAACCUUUCCCUCACCUGGAAUGGGGACAAUGGAUAUAAAGCAGCACAAAGGUAAUGCCCUGGACUUCUAGAAGACUCUCUUUGCUUGUUGUGCCUGGGAAACAUAGACAAGACUCUUGGGCCUGGGACAGCAAAGCUUCUCUAUCUGCCACCCACACUGCAGUGCUAACCCCUCCUGAUGCUCUGCCAUGGUGUACCUGGGUACACAUGAUGCUUCAUUCAACUCAUCAGUUCAGCCUGUGGAUAAAAAUAUCAACCAUGAGGUCAACUAUUAUACUAGUCAAUGAUCUCAAGACAGAAGGAGAAUAAAGUAACUUUAGAAAGUAAUUUAAGUUGUACUUAUUUAAAGAAUUAUGCAAGCUUGCCAUACAUACCUCCAUCUUUUCUGAAAUUUUACACCUUUGAAUGUGUUAUUAAUACAAACUAUUACAGUAGAACACAA